rnacentral:lncRNA from 1 species
AUAACACUCAGCCUUACACCUCUAAAAUUCAUCUGAACACAUUUUCAUGGCUGGAUUACGCUACCCACUCGCAGAUAGUAUGAAAUUAGAAAACGUGGUGGAAAGUAUACCUUAAUCAUAGUGAACAUGUAGGAAUCAGGUGGAUGGAAUAUACUUAAUUGUUUAUUUGUCAGUGUAACAGUAUUAGUUUUUUAAGUCACUGAAAACCUGGUAGUGUUGUUUUCAGAAACUUUCUGAUAAGAUUAAAACGUGACUGCUCUUAACUUUUAAAUAUUUCAAUAUAUGCAAUAUGUGACUUGAAAUUUUAGGAUUUGAGGAUGAUAAACAAUACUCUUGGUUUAAGAAACCAGAGUUAGAGAUUAAUGAUAUGCAGUUAAGAGUGCUUCCUCGUUCUGUAACAGACCUGGGUUCCGUUCCCAGCACCCUUCCCCAAGAAGGUUUAAAUUACCUCCAGCUCCAGGAGACAUGAAGCUCUCUUCUGGCCUCCGUGGUCACCACAUAUGCCAGAUACAAUUAUAGACAUGCAAGAAAAAUACACACAUGAGAUAAAUAAAUCUCUUUUUAAUUAAAACAUAUUUAAUCCAAUGGUGGGUAUUUUGUACAUAGACAUAUAAAUGUCUCUCUGUGUUUAUGGUAAAUCAUCUUUUAAAUAGUUUAUUCCCUUACAAAUAUAUAUUUUUUUUACUUUGAUUCUCUGAUUAUUACCCAUGUGUAACUUAAAUCAGGUAUAAAUAGGAAUGGUAAAGUCAGAUAAGAGGGUGACCUAUGGGCAAAUGACUGUGGCUAACUUCUGCUUAGAAGAAAUACCAUAGUAAGAAUUGUGGGGAAAAUGACCUUUUAGGGGUAUGAAGUUUGAUUUUUUUUUAUAGGUAGCUGCAGCUAAAUUGAUGGUAGGAUAUACAAGACUUCAAGAGGUGAAAGCACACACACUGACAAAACAGUCAGUUGUAAGGAGAGAGAAAACCUUCCAGUCAGCUGGAAAACACCAAAGAUCAAUGCAAAGAGAAACACAAUAAGCGUGGGAUACACUUAGGAAUUCACAGCUAAACUGUGGACUGAGUAUGGGGUUUUUAUGACUCCAGAUGAUAGACACAAAAUGCUAGAGUCGAAGCACACUCUAGCGUAGUGUACAGUCUGUAGCGCCUCCGCCUAGUUCAGUGCAGAGUCUUACUGGGGAGCCUUACUGAAGGAUUUGAAAAGGGUUUUGGUUUGGUUUGGUUUGGUUUUUUUUUCCAGGAUUUUUGUAUGUGUGAUAAAUCUUAACAUAGACAUUAUCCACAAAAAAAAAAGAAUGUUUCAGAAGGAAAGCAAAAUACUGUUAAGUCAAAUAAUUCUAGAAUAAGUUCUAUUUCAUCUUUAUAAUUGCCUAAGGUAGAAUUAGGGUUAGAAUUAUAAUUAUAAUUCUUUUUUAUUAGAUGUUUUCUUCAUUUACAUUUCAAAUGCUAUCCCCUUUCCUAGUUUCCUCUCCAAAAAUCCCCUAUACUCUCCUCCCUCUCCCUGCUUCCCAACCCACCCACUCCCACUUCUUUGCCUUGGCAUUCCCCUAUACUGGCGCAUAGAAUCUUCGCAAGACCAAGGAUCUCUCCUCCUAGUGAUGGCCGACUAGGCUGUCCUCUGCUACAUAUGCAGCUGGAGAUUCUUUAAAGACAAAUGAUUUUCCUGGAAAACUCUACUAAAAUUAAUAACUGUUAAAAUAUCCUCCCAAAAGCCUCCAUAAAAUAAAACUAACUUAGGCAGCAACUUUGAAUAUAUUUGCCAAUUCUAAGAAGUGGUUUUAAAUUUGUGUUUUAUAGCUUCCAAAAUUUAGCUAUUAUUAUCACAGGACUAAAUAAAAUUAGAAUAAAAAACUAUUUUAUAUGUUCAAACCAAAUAAAGAGUGUGUGUAAGAUGUAGAAAUGCACUCACAUGUGCCCAGCCUGGAGCAUGGAUUUGUGUUCAUUGCCUGCUUCCUUCAAGAGCAGAAUGGCCAGACCUCACCAACUGCCUUUAAAAUGUCACUUUGCAGAUUUGGGUUCUAAGAUAGCAUUGGUGAUACUUGCUUCAAAUUAGCUAAUGCAUUACAAAAAAAAUUCAAAUACAGAAGCUAAACUUGCACUCAGAUGUUAGAGAUGAUUUAGCCACCUAGUCUAACAUCUGUGCCUCAUUGAGAGUGAAGAUGCUACUUCAGUGCCCUGUCAGUGACUGCAGUUGCAGGUUUGAUGAGCCCAGGGGUGGGAUCUAGAUAGAGACGUGGUUGUCAAUGAAUACAAAUGCAAGGUUAGUAUCUAGCUUUUUAGUUUCAGGGUUUUUGAAAGUGCUGUACUUGUGUGUUUGAGCAAUAUGACUUUAUUGUGAUGAAGUAAGACAGAAUGUGUUGAUUCUUGUGGCAGGAUACUCAGUAUAAAUUCACAAAAUGGCCAAAGUACACUGUCCUAAGCACUCAAUGACUACAGUAAUUUCUCACCACUGCUCGAUGACAGGGUAACAAGCACUACGUCUAACUAUAACUACCUUCUAAAAUGGACAGUCACAUCAUCAGAAUCUAUAGGUGAUGUAACUCUCACACCCCCUCAACUUAAGAAGCAUCCUAAAUCAUUAUUAACAAUUUGGUGGUCAAUUUCCAUAAACUUAAAAUGACUAUUUGUCCAAUUAAAAAGUUGUUGAUAAUAAUUUUAUUGAUCUUUACCUCUAAAUAUAGCCAUAAAAUGAAUAAGAUAUUUGUGGAUAACCCCCCUCCCCCAGGCUACUAGGUAAAAAGGAACAUGAAAUUAAUGUUUUGAAAGGUUUAAGUGAGUAUUUUCUACAGCUGUCUGUGUUAACUUUGCUUUCAUUAAUCUACGCUGUUUCUUGGAGCAGAGAGAGUCUUUAAGCUGCAACAGAUGAAGAACCAGUAGCGGCAUUCUGAUAUUUUAGCUCUAUGAAGACAUUACCAUCUGUACAGUUAUAAGUCCCUCUUUUGACAUGCUGGUUUCUAUAGACUGUAUUGCAAAGUGCAGAGAUUUGAGGAAACUUUUGUUUAAUAAUUUUGACUUGAAGAUUGCUUUUUUUACUUGAAAAUUGCAUUUUCCUUUGGAAACUCAUUGUACAAGGUAGUUUUAUUAAAGUAUGAUAAAAGUCACUUUAAAGUUGUGGUAUUUCCAUCUUAAUAAAUUAUGUUUAAACU